rnacentral:rRNA from 1 species
GAUGAACGCUGGCGGCGUGCCUAAUACAUGCAAGUCGAACGAAACUUCUUUAUCAUCGUGUGCUUGCACUCACCGAUACAGGGUUGAGUGGCGAACGGAUGAGUAACACGUGGGUAACCUGCCUAAAAGAGGGGGAUAACACUUCGAAACAGGUGCUAAUACCGCAUAACCAUAGUUACCGCAUGGUAACUGUGUAAAAGGUGGCUAUACUACCUCUGUUGGAUGGUCGUGCGGGGCAUUAGCUAGUUGGUAGGGUAAAGGCUUACUGAGGGAGUGAUGGGUAGCCGAAUGGUGUGGUGGAUCGGCGGCAUUGGGGCUGAGACACGGACCAAACUCCUACGGGAGGCAGCAGUAGGGUAUGUGCGACAGUAGGGGGAAACCUGGUGGAGCGACGCGGAGUGGGUGGAGGAAGUGUUCGGUGCGUGAUGCCCUGUUGUUGGUGGUGAAAGGGCGUGGGAGGAGAUGUUCACGGAUCGACGGUAUCUAGUAAGAAAGCCCCGGCUAACUACGUG